GCCUCCUCAUAUACCCGGUUGGUAUGCCCCGCAUUUGUGGUCUCCUCUCUUGGCUUUGGAGCCCCCCUCCCUCUGUCUCUGUACGGGGGUGCCUUCUUCUUUUCUUCUUCUCCCUUCUUUCUUGCCUAUUAAACUCUCCACUUCUUAAUACCACUACACGUGUAUCUGUGUCAUUUUAUCCAAUUUGCAUGAGACAAGAGCCCUGGUGCCCCUCCACUCAUCAGAGCCGUAUCAUUUUGGUGCAUGGGCCAGGAAAAUCCAAAGUACAGCCUUCGUUGGAGUGUGAACCUGGAAAUGCAGAUAUCUCUGACACACUGAUUUUUCAGUUCCUUUGGA
rnacentral:lncRNA from 10 species